ACGCUAGCGGGAGGCCUAACACAUGCAAGCCGAGCGGUAUUUGUUCUUCGGAACAGAGAGAGCGGCGUACGGGUGCGGAACACGUGUGCAACCUGCCUUUAUCUGGGGGAUAGCCUUUCGAAAGGAAGAUUAAUACCCCAUAAUAUAUUGAAUGGCAUCAUUCGAUAUUGAAAACUCCGGUGGAUAGAGAUGGGCACGCGCAAGAUUAGAUAGUUGGUGAGGUAACGGCUCACCAAGUCAAUGAUCUUUAGGGGGCCUGAGAGGGUGAUCCCCCACACUGGUACUGAGACACGGACCAGACUCCUACGGGAGGCAGCAGUGAGGAAUAUUGGACAAUGGGUGCAAGCCUGAUCCAGCCAUCCCGCGUGAAGGACUAAGGCCCUAUGGGUUGUAAACUUCUUUUAUACUGGGAUAAACCUACUUACGUGUAAGUAGCUGAAGGUACAGUAUGAAUAAGCACCGGCUAACUCCGUGCCAGCAGCCGCGGUAAUACGGAGGGUGCAAGCGUUAUCCGGAUUUAUUGGGUUUAAAGGGUCCGUAGCGGAUUCGUAAGUCAGUGGUGAAAUCUCAUAGCUUAACUAUGAAACUGCCAUUGAUACUGC
rnacentral:rRNA from 1 species